AAAAACUAGUAAUACACAUAAACCAAAACAAAUAGAAUCGUCACAUUCAGAUACAAAUGAUAAAACAUUCUUCAUAAUUUUCUGUUUCCUUAUAAAAAAAAGCUUGCUUCUUUAAACAGCCGAUCUCGAUGAGCCGUGUUGACUUUGUGAACAUAACCAAAGUGCCUCAAUUGCUAAUGAGCGUACAGUGAGGUGCUUUACUUGGUCACUGGCAGCGGCGGCAAGUAAUUCAUAGAUAUGUGCAUCUUCGACUAGUGUAUGCAAUUCUGGACUGAGCACCUCUCUGAAUUCGCCAGAGUUUAAUCGGUAAAUAAUCCUUCCAAUAGUCUGAAUAGCAAUGCAUCUCUGGGUUGGGA